rnacentral:tRNA from 1 species
ACAGUGGUGGUUCAGUGGUAGAAUUUCCACCUUCCAUGCAGGAAACCUGGGUUCAAUUUCUGGCCAAUGCA